ensembl:snRNA U1 U1 spliceosomal RNA
AUACUUACAGAUAGAGGAGAUAUCAUGGCCACGAAGGUAUUUUUCCCAGGAUAAGGUGGCUUAUCUAUUGCACUCCAGAUGUGUUAAUCCCUCUAAUUUCCCCAAAUGUGAUUGUCUACAUAAUUAGUGGUAUCUGGGAACAAGAGUAAAAAAUGCCCAA